UACAGAGGUCUCAAGCGUUGUUCGGAUUCAUUGGGCGUAAAGGGUGCGUAGGCGGCGCGGUAAGUCGGGUGUGAAAUCUUGGAGCUUAACUCCGAAACUGCAUUCGAUACUGCCGUGCUUGAGGACUGGAGAGGAGACUGGAAUUUACGGUGUAGCGGUGAAAUGCGUAGAUAUCGGGAGGAACACCUGUGGCGAAAGCGGCGCACUGGACCACAUCUGACGCUGAGGCGCGAAAGCUAGGGGAGCAAACAGG
rnacentral:rRNA from 1 species